rnacentral:rRNA from 1 species
GACGAACCGUGCGAACGUUAUUCGGAAUCACUGGGCUUAAAGGGUGCGUAGGCGGGCGGUCAAGUCAGGGGUGAAAGCCUCCAGCUCAACUGGAGAAGUGCCUUUGAUACUGGCCGUCUUGAGGGGUGCAGGGGCAUGCGGAACUCAGGGUGGAGCGGUGAAAUGCGUAGAUAUCCUGAGGAACACCGGUGGCGAAAGCGGCGUGCUAGACACCUACUGACGCUGAGGCACGAAAGCCAGGGGAGCAAACGGG